AAGAGCUUGAGUUUCUCACUGUGCAGACUGCAUAGCACCUCAGACCCUGCUGAAGCCCUCUGACUUCUCUGCUACUGGACAUUCCCUUGACCCUUUGGUUUCCCAGAACUGCUGCAGACAGACUUUACAGAAGCUGUGACUGCAUGAGAGGACAACAGGGUCCUUGAAGACGUCACAGCACACAGGACAGAGUUCACAGAAAAACGAUGUGCCAGUCGGUCUUCCUCAGUUCCCUACUUCCUUGUUGAACAAGGUUGAGUUGAGCCAGAGGGAGGGACUUUGGCCGAAGAGGAUUCUGAUUGGCCAGUUUUGCUAGAGGGAGUGAAACUCCUGUUCUGAUGAUUGACAGGUAUGAAUAACUUGAUAUUUCAUGUUAUAGUUUACUCAUAGGUGGGAUGAUUUGUAAUGACCCUUAAUUUCUACUUCUAAGUCUGCUCUAUGAAUUAAGGAACACAGCAGUUGGUUAUCUAGAGAAAGUGCAAAGUCAAGCCUACAAAUUCACCCAUAAAAUCAUUGCAAACACACAGUAGCAUUUAACCAAAAAUAUUGUAAUUUUUUUCUUUUUUUCCUUUCACAUGUCAGAAUUAUUUGAAUUGAAUGAUAUUAUACUUGGUUAAUUUGGCUUGCAUUGAAAUAAACCAAUUAGCUGAUCCAUUUUGUCAGCAUAAAUUAUCCUUUCUUUGCACUGAAAUAAAAAGGAAAACCCACAAUUGCCUUGUAGUUCAAAUUGUUCUCUAGAGGGGCGACACAUCAUUGGGAAGGACCACGUGGUACGAGAUGAUGGGGCAGAAGUCCAUCUCUGCAGAGGACUGUAGUGUGUAGCACUCUGCUGCCCCCUUGUGGCGAUCUGCAGGUUGGACACAGUGACUGUCGGCCCAUUUCCUCCUGCUCAUGGACGCUGGAGCUGCUGUGGUGUGCCAGAGCACCAGGGCUGAGGAGUUAGAGCGCUGCUCUACAGGUCUAAUCAGCACCAGGAGUGGAGCGCUGCUCUACAGGUAGUUUAAUCAGCACCAGGAGAGGAGCGCUGCUUUACAGGUAGUUUAAUCAGCACCAGGAGUGGAGUGCUGCUCUACAGGUAGUUUAAUCAGCACCAGGAGAGGAGCGCUGCUUUACAGGUAGUUUAAUCAGCACCAGGAGUGGAGUGCUGCUCUACAGGUCUAUUCAGCACCAGGGCUGAGGAGUGGAGCGCUGCUCUACAGGCUACAUUUUUAAACGACCAAAACAAAUAAUGCAACACGAAAAUGACAUUGCUGUAAAAUGAUCAAGCAAUUGGCACAGA